UACGGGGGGAGCAAGCGUUGUUCGGAUUUACUGGGCGUAAAGGGCGCGUAGGCGGCCUUCUAAGUCGAACGUGAAAUCCCUGGGCUUAACCCAGGAACUGCGUCCGAUACUGGAAGGCUUGAAUCCGGGAGAGGGAUGCGGAAUUCCAGGUGUAGCGGUGAAAUGCGUAGAUAUCUGGAGGAACACCGGUGGCGAAGGCGGCAUCCUGGACCGGUAUUGACGCUGAGGCGCGAAAGCCAGGGGAGCAAACGGG
rnacentral:rRNA from 1 species